rnacentral:rRNA from 1 species
UACGUAGGGUGCGAGCGUUGUCCGGAAUUACUGGGCGUAAAGCGUGCGCAGGCGGUUUUGUAAGCCAGAUGUGAAAUCCCCGGGCUUAACCUGGGAAUGGCAUUUGGGACUGCAAGGCUUGAGUGCGGCAGAGGAGACUGGAAUUCCCGGUGUAGCAGUGAAAUGCGUAGAUAUCGGGAGGAAUACCGAUGGCGAAGGCAGGUCUCUGGGCUGACACUGACGCUCAUGCACGAAAGCGUGGGGAGCAAACAGG